rfam:Scleropages formosus scaffold10181, whole genome shotgun sequence.
GUAGGCUACGGGGACAUGUGUCCUGUUACCAUCGGUGGCAAAAUCGUGGGCGCCCUGUGUGCCAUCGCAGGGGUGCUGACCAUCGCGUUGCCGGUGCCGGUCAUUGUGUCCAAC